CCGAGUUUACAGCUCCCAAACCCCUGUGAACAUACCUAUACGUUGCCUCGGCGGAUCAGCCCGCGCCCCGUAAAAAGGGACGGCCCGCCCGAGGACCCCUAAACUCUGUUUUUAGUGGAACUUCUGAGUAAAACAAACAAAUAAAUCA
rnacentral:misc_RNA from 1 species